GAAGACAUUAAAUCAUUUCAGUUGCAACCAGAACAGUAAAAAUCAUCAUAGACAGUAGACACUCAGAAUAUAAACAUUGCCAUUUCAUAUACUAACCAAGUGUCCAAUGAAUAACAAUUCUUUUUGUAGAAAAGACUAUAUGGCUGAUGGAUAAAAGAAGCCAAAGCUUUUAAUAGACCAGAUGAUUAUAUCAUGAAUGGUUAAACAAUAGUGGGAAGUAAAACCUAUGAUUUUAAACUGCAUCUUACGUGGUUUCUUUUUCAGUGAUUAUCUGAUCUUCAUGUCUUUGUUCAGGACUCCAUCUCGUGACUCUCUGCUUUUUAAUAGAGAAUUUCUCUAAACACGAUGGAGAGACAGAACCAUGACCAUUUUUGUUGAUGCU
rnacentral:misc_RNA from 1 species